rnacentral:lncRNA from 1 species
AGGUCACCAGCGUCCCAGCCGCAACCAGGUACCAGACCGGAACCACUAUCACGUGGGACCCCAGCUUCAGACUCGCUCGACUCUCCAGCUUGUUGCAAUGUCGCCGGAGUCCGCUCGGCCGAGUCCCUGUUGAUCCCACGAAUCAAAACGCUACCGCCGUUACAAACCCCGGCUGUGGCGAGUGGUUCGAGUCCCUGUCGUUGGAGCGCGCUUCCCCGUGGCCACGAAAUCCAGCAUCUGUAAUUGCGGUGAGAUCUUUCUCCUUUGUCUUACCAUGUUCCUAGGAUUAGACAGCAUGUUGUGGCUUGUGGUUUGGGACCCCAGAUCGCCGGGCAUGGCUGUGGCGGCAGGAUUGCCCACGCGGUCCGCACACACCAUCGCUGCGAGCUGUCGGGAGGAAGAAAGACGUGCCUUGCCGUUGGAUCGUAGGGAGAGGUGGAGAUUAGACGUUGGGCAUACCUGUUUGGGGAAUAGAUCUGAGCCAUAGGAUGAGAUCGAACGGAUUAGGAUAGAUCUUGAUUCAAUAAAAUCUGACUGUCUAACUUUGAUCCGUUGUACAACACUUCGUAUCGCUUUGUUAUAAGAUUCGAGCUAUCCAAUGGCUCAGGCGGGCAGAUACCCCUUCAGCCGUAGCUUUGCAAAAGAUACCCCUAGUUUCUAUUAUUGAAACCGUAGUCCUGUCAAUUUAUAGAACCAUUAACACGGAGCCCUAGUAUUUAUAUUUUAGACAUGGAUUUUAUUAAAUAGUGGUCAUUGUCCAACCCUUUUUGUUAACUGUAAUCAAAUCAGAAAAUCAAUUAUUAUGUACAAAAAUAAACGUAGGAAUUUAGAAAAACCAUAACUUCCUCAUACUAAUUUCAAAUUGACCCGUUCGAGUUGCGUUGUACUCAUAUUAAUGUCAGUCAUCAUUUAGUAAACUUAUUUUAUUAUGUCACAUGUUGUUAACAUCAAGAACUUCAUUUGUUUUAGCUUAUGUUUUACACGUAAACAUUCAGAAAAUUAUAUCUCUUUAACCAUAACUCUGAAUUUAGUGAUUCUCGAACCUACGAUCUCGUAGUAGAGCGUAAAAUAUUCUUACGUAGUUUGUUCUCAUCUUUCAUGUAAUGAUAUUUUAUGUACUCCUUGUCUAUUUGUAUGUAUUGCUACGAGUAGCAGCGAGGUCACGAGAAACCAGAAGACCAACUUGGUGAUAUUCUUACGUAGUUUGUUCUCAUCUUUCGUGUAAUGAUAUUUUGUGGCUUGUGGUUUGGGACCCCAGAUCGCUGGGCAUGGCUGUGGCGACAGGAUUGCCGCCGCGGUGCGCACACACCAUCGCUGCGGCUAUCGGGGAGGAAGAAUGACCUGCCUUGCCGUUGGAUCGUAGGGAGAGGUGGAGAUUAGACGUUGGGCAUACCUGUUUGGGGAAUAGAUCUGAGCCAUAGGAUGGAAUCGAAUAGAUUAGGUUAGAUCUUGAUUCAUUAAAAUAUGACCGUCGAACUUUGAUCCGAUGGACAGCACUUGGUAUUGCUUCGUUAUAAGAUUCGAGCUAAUCUUGGCCGUCUGCCAUGAAUCCAAUGGCUCAGGCGGACAGAUAUCCCUUCAGCCGUGUAGCUUUGCAAAAGAGACCCUCUAGUUUCUAUUAUUGAACUCGCAGUCCUGUCGAUUUAUAGAACCAUUAACAUGGAGCCCUGGUAUUUAUAUUUUAGACCCUGGAUUUUAUUAAAAUAGUGGUCGUCGUCCAACCCUUUUUGGUUAACUGUAAUGAAAUCAGAAAAUCAAUUAUUAUGUAAAAAACGUAGGAAUUCAGGAAAAUCAUAACUUCCUCAUACUAAUUCCAAAUUGACCCAUUCGAGUUGCGUUUGUAACACCCCAGGUGUUACCAAGGCCAUGGUUUCAAUUAUGCACUGAUGACUUGUGAUCACAUGUGGUUAAGUGGAGGAGAAGAAGAACCUAAAACCUUGGAAGCAUGGGUUAGUUAAGAGGGGUUAAUGGCAAAGGCUUCACCCACACAAUUGGAACAAGGGUCAUGUGGAGCCAAGGUGAUUAAACCCUAAAGACACCUAAGGGCACUAGACUUCCAAGCAAGGGAUCAGUGGAUAAGUUAAUCAAAUUGACAAAGCAUGAUCCUAUUCCAUAAAGAAGUUUUAGUAACAAUGUAACCUACCAAAUGCAGGGAGGGAACAUUGCAAAAAGACCCCUUGAUGACCCCAAUUUCACCCCUUAAGUGGAGAGCACACUAGAGCUCUCUAAUUCUCUCUAAGUCAAAAUCUAACCCUAAUCUAAAGAUCCACCAUGUUCACUUAGUAAUUGGCACCAAAACCACUUGGGUUAAAUACCAAAAAGGUGCCAAACCACCUAAGACACCCACUGGAAAAGUUUGAAACCGAGCCCAAGUCGUUUGACAAGAUUUUGCAUGGUUUUUGUCGCGAGGUGGACAGAGGGACAAACCAAAUUUGGCGUCCGCAAAUCUCCCUACCUAUGGCAUAUCUGCCAUUGGAACUCACAUACAAGAGACAUCCCUAGGUGCUAGGAGGAGGCCUGCGCCGGAUUUUUGCCAAUAUUCGCACUUUUGCGAUCUCGGCGAGCUGUUGAGCAAGGGCAGAAGAACACUUCCACGUGUUCAACGCGCUCUGAACGCGCCAGAGCACGCCCAGCGCCCGACCCCGCGCGCCCCGCGCCACGCCUGUGUCUCCUGCCCGCGCCCGCGCCUAUAAAGCCCACCGAAGCUUCAACCGUACUCCCCCACGCGCUCUCGACCUCACCGGAGCCAGAGAUCACCGGCGUUUGCCCUGCUGACGGCGUGCCAGCGGCCGCCCGAUCCCCCGCCACCGUAGACUGGCCAGCAGAGCCAUCUCCAACCCCGUCCAACCCUCGAAAUAGACUCUACGUGCCUCGGUGAAGCUCCCAGAGCGAGGAAUCGAGCUCUGCCUCACCAGAGACGCCGGAUCAAGGUUGCCGGACUUCACCCGACCGCCGGUGAACGUAGACAGAGCUCCACGGUGAGUUGUUCUUCGAUUCCUUGCAUGGGUUGACCCUUUAGCACACCGUGAAGCUUCUCGUGCCCUUGGAUUGACCUGUAUCACCGCGGAUAGGCCGGAGCACACGCCGUCGACGAGCUCGCCCACCUACGCACGUGGACCGGCCGAUUCUGACCAUCACUUUCGUCGAGCCGCACCUCGUUGUGACCGCAAGGACCUCCCGAAGCCAACCCCACCCUUCGUCGGACUUUCCUCGCCGCCGGUAAGCCGCGCCGCCCUUUUUCCUUUCGCGGGAACUGUUCAAAAGGGGGGGACCUCGGGGAAGAAGAAAUAGAAGCCAGGGGUUUUUGAACUGUCAGAGACUCAGGGGAAUAGUUGCGCAGGGGUAUAAAUUAAAGGAAUGGUUUAGGAAGAACCCAGGGACCUCGGUGCAAACUGGUUUUCCAGGAAACCUUUUUAAUAUUUCUAAUUUAAAUACAAACAGAGCUUGUAAAAUUCAUAACUUCAGUUUUAUUCAACCAAAUUUGGUCAAACCAAUUUUGCCUGAUUCUAAAUAAUGUGAACUACUUAGGAAAAAUACAAAACCCUCUUAGUAUUGCAAAAGAAUUUUAAGUUUGGAUUUAAAUAUUGUUUUGGCCAAAAGUUAAAUAAUAGAAGGAAAAAUAGUUACACUAUUAGACUGAGGUUAAGAAAAAUCAGAGAAGUACUUAAUCACUCCUUGAUCUGUUCAAAAAUAGUAAACCCCUCAGUACACCAAAUUAAGGUAGGGUUUGCCAUUUAAAUCAUUUUUAGCUUAAAGAUAAAGAAAAUAGAAAAGGUAAUUUAAAAUAAAAACCAUGGAGCAACCACAUUUUUGUUAACUCACUUAUUUAAUGUAGUUCACUGGAAAAAUUUAUUAGACCUUUGUUUAGUACAAAGGAAAUGAGAUACCUUUUAUUUAAUGAAAACUUAGGAAAAUCUUAGAGAAAUAAUCCUGAGGAGAAAACACCCGAAACCUUGGGAUAACUAAUACUUUGUUAUUAUAAACAUAGGAAAAAUAUGAAAUCUGUUGUUUAGUAUUUUUCAAAUAACAAGUUAGUUAUAAGUACCUUUUUGGCAUGAAACUUUAGAAACUCACAACUAAAUAUCCAGUAGGCCUUUUUCUGUGAUUUUUAACACAGAGGCCUAAUAUCACCUAUGAAUCUGGACAAAAAUAAAAUUUGGUACAGAAACUUCACUUACAUCAUAGCUAUAGUGUCAAAUGUCGUUUUACACUUGUUUUUGUUAAUUUUGCACAAGUAGUAUCUGAAUCAGUAUCCACCUCAAUUUUUUAGGAGAACCCACAAAUGUUAAUGGUAACCCACUGUAAUUUUUACAGAAAUUUUGGAAAUUUUAAAAUCACUGUUUUAGUUCAAACCCAACUUAAGAGCAUGAAAAGAGAAUAAAAGAAAGAAUUAAGUAGUGGAGAUAAAUGUUACCCUGACCAAGACAGCAAAACUCUUAAGUACCUACUAAGACCUUUAAGGGCAAUCCAAACCUUAAUCCACUACAGUUGCCUCUAAGCAAAACCUCAAACCUAAAUUGAUAAACAUAAAUCACCAGAGCUUCUUAUAACCAGGAAAACCCUAAGUUAUCAAAUAACUUAGUUCUUCUUCACUACGCAAAAUGGUUACUAAAUCAUGCAUAUCAUAGCAUACAUAUUUCUUACUCUUUGCAUUCGAUAGAUUGCAACCUCGCUGACGGAGAGUACAUCCUCGUGCCGGAGCAAGGAUUUGCUCAGGAGGUAGCCCCGGAUCCAGCACUAGAGCCUGCCGUCGAGGAUCUGCCUGUCCUAGCUUUGGAAGGCAAGCCCCGGUUUUAUGCAUAACCGUUAUAUAUGCUAUUUUACUACACUUAAUGUUUGUAGGCUUGUAUUGUGCACUUAAGUGUAGGAGUUGACUGAAACCCUAGUUGCAUGAACUCAGGAUUCCUUUUGAGAUGGAUACUAGUAUGCUAGGUCGAGUAGCUGCUUUACUAAUCAGGGAUCUCGGUAGAAGUCGAGUGAUUUUUCUAGCACUCGCGCGAGGUCAGGAAUUGGUUGUAUCCAUUUUUAUAUCAUAUUGAUGAUGGUCUGUGGAUAACGAUCCAUGGGGAUGCGUUGUCUACGAGACGGAAAUUGGAAUAAGGAUUAAGGUGUGGUACCGUGUGUCAAGCGUUUGAACGUACUAAACAAAUGCCGAGAAAUAUGGUAAAUCGGUAAGCCUAGUACCUGAGUGAAACUGCCCGCAGAUUGCCCUCCUCACGCGACCAGAGACGUGGUUUCCCAUUCCGGUUAUGGUGGGUACAAGUGCGGUCACUGCACGACGGCAGUCGGGGUCAGUGAGGCAUUGUACGCCAAGGCGGUGAGCCCCUUUCUGUUGCCAAGGAAUCGAUAGGGAUGGUUGAUGUGUGUAGGGAUGGAGUGCCUCGCCACGUCGUGUGUUUAGGUUUACCUUGCAAGGUUGAAACUCGAUUCGAAUCGUCUGCUUCUCGCAGCUAAUGAGACUCCUUGAUCCAUGCUGCUACAUUGAGUAACAAGUGGAAAUGUGAUGACUUGGCAAAAGUUGUUGAUUGCUAAAUGUUUGAUACCAUGUAUGAUUAGAUAGGUAUACAUUUAGUCUUAAGAGAUUCACACUAAAACUUGAAAAAGCUAAAACUUGAUUUUUAGACUCAGCUAGUGCUUUUGACAAACCAAACCCUUCAGCCAAACAGCUGCAUGUCUAGAGGUAGAGGAGUAGACUCCUCACACCGGGUAAGUCUAGCUGAGUAUUAGUAUACUCAGCCUUGCUUGUGGCAUAAUUUUUUACAGGUUCUCUGGAGGACAUGGUUGCUGGAGUGACUUGGCCGUCCAUCUUGCCACCGGGAUGGACAGUCGAGUGGGACCCUACCUCGGCUGAGGAGGAGCAUGAGGAGUGAUGGGACAGGCUUCCCCAUCCCUCCAUUUAUUUACCGUUAGUUUUAUUCCACUGCAUUCCGAACAAUGAUCUCCACUUUUGCUAAAACUCCAAUGUUGAUGUAAUAAUUUGAUACUCCUUAAUGUAUGGUUUUAUGCUUUAUUGUAUUUGCUUUAUGCCUCACCUUCGAGUGAGUACGUGGUACUUGAUCUUGUUAGUGGCCUCAUCGGACU